rnacentral:tRNA from 1 species
GAUAAGGUGGCUGAAAAUGUUAGGUAAUAAAUUGUAAAUUUAUUUAUGGUUAAAGUUAACCUCUUAUCA